UACGUAGGGGGCUAGCGUUGUCCGGAAUCAUUGGGCGUAAAGCGCGCGUAGGCGGCCCGGUAAGUCCGCUGUGAAAGUCAAAGGCUCAACCUUUGAAUGUCAGCGGAUACUGCCGGGCUAGAGUCCGGAAGAGGCGAGUGGAAUUCCUGGUGUAGCGGUGGAAUGCGCAGAUAUCAAGAGGAACACCUGAGGUGAAGACGGGGUUGCUGGGCCUGACACUGACGCUGGAGGCGCGAAAGCCAGGGGAGCAAACGGGG
rnacentral:rRNA from 1 species